rnacentral:rRNA from 1 species
UACGUAGGGCGCAAGCGUUUGUCCGGAAUUAUUGGGCGUAAAGAGCUCGUAGGCGGCUUGUCACGUCGGGUGUGAAAGCCCGGGGCUUAACCCCGGGUCUGCAUUCGAUACGGGCAGACUAGAGUGUGGUAGGGGAGAUCGGAAUUCCUGGUGUAGCGGUGAAAUGCGCAGAUAUCAGGAGGAACACCGGUGGCGAAGGCGGAUCUCUGGGCCAUUACUGACGCUGAGGAGCGAAAGCGUGGGGAGCGAACAGG